CUCGUUCACCAUGUUCUCUACAUCCCUACUGCUGCUGCUGGCUGCUGUGAGCUGUGUUCACAGUGUUGAACUGACCCAGCCUGGAUCCAUGGUCAUAAAUCCUGGCCAGUCGAUGUCACUGACCUGUACAGUUUCUGGAUACUCACUGACCAGCUACUGGACACACUGGAUACGGCAGCCUGCAGGAAAAGCUCUGGAGUGGAUUGGACAGAUACAUGGAGAUGGAAGCACUUACUACAGUGAUAAACUGAAAAGCAGGUUUCAACUUGCUGUGGACACGUCCAGCAGCACAGUGACCUUAAGAGGACAGAACAUGCAGACUGGAGACACAGCUGUGUAUUACUGCGCUCGUGAAAACGGGAGCGGCGCUUUUGACUACUGGGGUAAAGGAACGACGGUCACCGUCUCAUCUGGUAAGAAAACAUCUGAUUCACUCCGUUCAGCGAAAAUGUCGAUUCAUUAUUUUAAAUGAAAU